CAGCCGCCGCGGGAAUACGUAGGGGGCGAGCGUUGUCCGAAGUUACUGGGCGUAAAGCGCGCGUAGGCUGUCUCUUAAGUUUGGGGUGAAAGGUUCACGGCUCAACCGGAACAGUGCCUUGAAUACUGGGAGACUUGAAUCUGGCAGAGGAUAGUGGAAUUCCUGGUGUAGCGGUGAAAUGCGUAGAUAUCAGGAGGAACACCCAUGGCGAAGGCAGCUAUCUGGGCUAAGAUUGACGCUGAGGUGCGAAAGCGUGGGGAGCGAACGGGAUUAGAUACCCCAGUAGUCCCUGUCUCUUAUU
rnacentral:rRNA from 1 species